rnacentral:rRNA from 1 species
GACGAACGCUGGCGGCGUGCCUAAUACAUGCAAGUCGAGCGAACAGACGAGGAGCUUGCUCCUUCGACGUUAGCGGCGGACGUGUGAGUAACACGUAGGUAACCUACCUAUAAGACUGGGAAAACUUCGGGAAACCGGAGCUAAUACCGGAUAAUAUUUCGAACCGCAUGGUUCGAUAGUGAAAUAUGGCUUUGCUAUCACUUAUAGAUGGACCUGCGCCGUAUUAGCUAGUUGGUAAGGUAACAGCUUAUCAAGGCAACUAUACGUAGCCGACCUGAGAGGGUGGUAGGCCACACUGGAGGGGGGACGCGCUCAAGGCUCCUGCGGGAGGGCGCAGUAGGGAAUCUUCCGCAAUGGGGGAAAACCUGGCGGAGCAACGCCGCGUGAGUUGUAAAGGUCUUCGGAUCGUAAAACUCUGUUAUUAGGGAAGAACAAAUGUGUAAGUAACUGUGCACGUCUUGACGGUACCUAGUCAGAAAGCCACGGCUAACUACGUG